rnacentral:lncRNA from 1 species
AUGUUUUGGGGAUGGGUUGAGGGUUUUGACUUAAUGGGGAUUGGUCGAUUGUAUGAUGGUAUUCCUCUGUUGUUGGUCUUGUUAUUUUGUUCUUUGUUGUUAGUAUUGUGGUUGUUGUGUAUGGUUAUUUGUAGUUGUAGAAAUGGGUUUUCUGGAAACUGGUGUUUGGGCAGUGGUAUAGAUGGGUGGUUUUUUUAUUGUUAUUCUAGGUAUUGGCCUUUUUUGUUAUUGUGCCGCUGGCCUCCCCUCGGCUGGUGUGGCCUGGGCCAGGAUUUGGAAACUUUUGAAUUUGUGAGGCCAUGCCUUGUCCCGGGGCGUGUUCUCGCCUGUCCUUAUGCUUGUGUGGGUUGGCAUUUGAAGUCCCCGUCCCCCCCCCCCCCCCGCCGCCGCCGCCGGCUCUUUCCUCUUUUUGGCUUUGAAGCCUCGGAGACAGCGAUUCCCCCGUUAUGUUUCCUCCCCUGUGUUGGAAAUGUUAUUAGUCUCUAUGGGUAGAUUCCAGUGCCCGUCCUUCCCUGCCUUUCAGUCCCUGUUUUUGAGUUUGAAACCCUGGAGAUUGCAAGUGCCCUUUUUAUUUUUCCUGGCUUGCUCCCUCCCGUCUAUUGGAAAUCUUAUUAGGUUGGAUGGAAAGAUCCAGGUGCCCCUCCUCCCCUGCUUUCCAGUCCUUGUUUUUGGGUUUGAAACCCUGGAGAUUGCAAGUGCCCUUCUUUUUCCUGGCUUGGUCCCUCCCCUCUGUUGGAAAUCUUAUUAGGUUGGAUGGAAAGAUCCCGCUGUCCUCCCGUUGACUUCCACUCCUGGUUUUUUGUUUUUGUUUUUUUAAUUCGCGGGCAUGGAGCCCCCCCCCCCGGUUUCCUUCCUAGCUUUUGUUUGUUCUGGUCGGUUGUCUUCCCUCGAGCCAGCGAGGGUCUUGAGGGUUGGCCUGUGUCGAGCACCUCGUUGUGGUUGUCCGGUUUCCCUUAGAGAUGCGGCGGUUGUAGGAGGCUUGAUUUGUCUGUGGGCAGCGUCUGUUCGUUCCGACCUGUGGAGGAUGGAGGUAGAUUUUGUUGUUUUAGAAGGGAUGGGGGGGGGCUGUGGGUGUUGGAGGGCUUUAUUUGGCCCGACCGCCAUGUUUGCCCCUCUUAUGUAGAUGGGCGCCCACCCGCUCCUUUCUCCUUAUCGCUGUGGUGUGGCUGGUGGAAGUUUUGUGGUCGUUCCGACCCUUCUCCCGAGUGUAUCGGUGUCUCCACCGGGAAGGCUGUUUUCCCCUCCUGUGUGCGAGUUUUGCAGCCGUGUCUUUCCUCACAGCGGGUUGGUGUGAGGCGGCUGAGGUAGAUGGCGGCGGUGGCGGGAAUAGCUAGGCGACCGUUGAGGGUGGGGGUUGGAGUUUGUGGUGAGCGCGCGCCUUUUUGUGUGUGGCGCAUGCGCUCUUCAUAUUUUCCGGUUUUGGGGUUUUUGUGGGUCGCAGUUCCAUUUUGGGAGUUCGGUUGUGUUGUAAGAACCUUGAGGCAAGGCUUUUGGAUGUUGUUGUCAAGUUUGGUGGUUCUGGGGCGUAUAGUUCUGUUGUUAUAGUCACGGUGCAAACAACUUUAUCAUUUUAUAUAUAUAGAUUUUAAAAUGUAUUGUACUUUAAAGUCCUUUAUCAAUUGGCUUUUGCCCUCUGCAUUUUAACUUCUCUUUAAUAAUAUGUCCUUAUUACUAUCGUAGUACAAUAUUUACAGAACUGUCACGGAGCAGUUGAAACACUGAACCAAAAUAUUCCAAACAUCUUUCAGAUAUGCUAUUUAUGGCUUUUAACAUUGUUUUAAUUAAGCAAAUUGUUAGCUAGGUUUGACAGAUAAUGAUUUCAGCGUUGAUGUCUUCACAGCAAAGGUAAGAAAUCGUUUGAUAUUCCCAGGAAAGAAGAACUGUGAAAAAAAAUCUUACUGCUGUCCUGAUAACAUUGGCAAGUGGAAUAAAACUCCUCUUGCCACAUCUAAAGCCAAUCCACAUUUACUCAAAUGUAUUGGAUUAUGGUACAGUAGCAAGAAAUCUACCAUGAGAAUUCAAGAAGAUGAAGAAACAUAGAUGGGCUGCCUUAUGCCUGUUUUACCAGCCAACCUAAAACAGGUUGAGUAUCUCUUAUCUGAAAUGACUUCAAUAGUAAUACCUGAAUAUGCAUACAUAAAUAAAUAUUUGAAAGAUGAAACUCAAGUCUAAAUAUGAAAUUCAGUAAUAUUUCACAUAUACUUUAUACAUAUAGCCUAAACAUAAUUUAGAAAACAAUAUUUUAAAUAAUGUUGUGCAUGAAAAAGUUUGUGUACCUUGAACUAUAAGAAAGCAAAGGUAUCACUCUAUCAGUCACUUAUAUGGGCAAUUUUGUUUUUUGGUGUAUUAUAGAUUCCAGAAUUCCAGGUAAGGGAUGCUCAACCUUUAUUGUCUACUCCAACUGGCAGCAGAUCCCCACAACUUCAGACAGACACCUUCUAUGUUACAUACUACAGGAUCUAAUUAGAUAGGCCAGAAUUGAACCUAAGACCUUCAAGCUUACACCUUGGUACUGGGUUGUAGAGCUCUCCAUU